rnacentral:rRNA from 1 species
GAUUAGAGGCACGCGGGGGUGCAAGGCCCUCGCACUAUUCUCAAACUUUAAAUGGGCGAGAUCCCCGGCAUUCAGGCAUGAUGCCGGGGCUUCUUUCAUGGCUUGCAAUAAUGCCCCCCGAGCCGCUUUCAUGACGCUGGAUAUUGUGUGUUAAAGUGCAUUUGUCGUUGAAACACUCAAUACGUACACAGGUCUAGUACGAAUCAACCCGUACCCAGUGGGUCAUUUCUGGUAAGCAGGACUGAUAAUGAGGGAUGAACCUAACGUUGUGCUAAGGGGCCUAAACGAUAGCUAUCUCUUGAUACCAUUGGAAGGGUGUUGCUGGCUGAAGACAGCAGGACGGUGGUCAUGGAAGUUGACAUCCGCUAAGUAGUGUGUAAUAACUAAUCCUGCCGAAGCGAGCAACCCUGAAAAUGGAUGGCACUAAAGCUCUCUCCCGAUGCACAACCGUCGGGGCAGUAAAGGCUUGAGAAGGAAUUUUGUCAGAUCUAUAAGUCUCAAAGCCCCGACGAGUAGGGUGGCGUGCCGGUGUGCGUUGAAGGUCAUGACGUGAGUCAGGCUGGAGCCGCCGGUAGUGCAGAUCUUGGUGGUAGUAGCAAGUACUCUGGUGAACUAACCUGGAGCUGUGAGGUCUGGACCAGGGUUCCAUGUCAACAGUGAUUGAACAUGGGUGAGUCGAUCCUAAGCCGUCUGUGAAAGCAGUGACAUCCCGUCUUUGGGCGCACAAUCAAGCAAAGGAACAGGAACGCGCAAAACACAAAGUCUCUUGGUGUGUGUGUAUAUAUAUGCAGACGAUGUCUCCACCUCAAACGAACGCAAUCGAAAUGCAUACGUGUGUUGUCGUGUUUUUGUUUUUCUCUCUGUAUCGGCGAGCAAUUUCACAUAAUAAUAGAAAAGCACUACCGUUCCUACAUGUGAUAUUGCCUUACGAGAGAACUCUGACACACGCACAUAUAAAGUUAUGCAUGUGUUCUGUUGUUGGUGGCAUCAAGUAACGAAUCUGGAAACGCAUAUAAUACAACUCGUUGUGUUGUUGUUUCAUAAGGUGUUCUUUGCGUGCUAAACCCACGGAAUGGUUCUAUGUCUGGCGAAAGGGAAUGUGGACUUUGUUCUUUGACCAGUCCCGGCGCCCCCGACUGGCUUACGCCUGUCUAUUGUUCCACGUACGUGAAACCAGGCCGCAGUCGUCGGCAGUCGCCCGAGGAAGAGUUUUCUUUUCUGCUUAACGCUUGAGCACACUCCUGGAAACAAUUCGCCUGGCGAAAGGUUGUGCCUGGCGGCAGAGCGCCACGACUGUCGUGUGCGUCUCGGUGUUCCUGCCGAUCCGUGAAAACGCGGUCGAGGGCUCAUACUUGUAUGAUUUCUAAACGCCCGACAAGUUCGGGACGGACCGUACCCUAUAUCCGCAUCCGGUCUCCAAGGUUCGUAGCCUCUGCAGAGUCAGACACAUGUAGGUAAGGGAAGUCGGCAAACUCGAUCCGUAACUUCGGGAUAAGGAUUGGCUCUGAGGGCCGAGCUGGUCCGGGCCUUGCCUAUUAAGCAGUGCUUUUAGUGACCGGAGUUUUAGAAGUGCGAUGGGCCUUAGUAACUGUGUGUGCGGCUUCGGUCGUGCCGCACGAACGGGUCUUCCGCUUCGCUCCAACCACGAACGUCUGUGACGGCAAGGCUUUGGGCGGGUGCACAUUCAAAUGUUGGCCUCCAGCUUGUCUGGUUGGCGGCAGUGCACCGUCAGCUCAUACGGAUCCAGCGCCUAGCGGCUAGCUCAGAACUGUCAUGGACUAAGGGAAUCCGACUGUCUAAUUAAAACAAAGCGUCGUGACGGCCCCUAUUGGGUGUUGACGCGACGUGAUUUCUGCCCAGUGCUCUGAAUGUCAAAGUGAAGAAAUUCACCGAAGCGCGGGUUAACGGCGGGUGUAACUAUGACUCUCUUAAGGUAGCCAAAUGCCUCGUCAUCUAAUUAGUGACGCGCAUGAAUGGAUUAACGAGAUUCCCGCUGUCCCUAUCUACCGUCUGGUGAACCAACAGGCAAGGGAACGGACUUGCAUGAACACAGCGGGGAAAGAAGACCCUGUUGAGCUUGACUCUAGUCUGAAUCUGUACGGAGACAUCGGAGGUGCAGCAUAAGUGGGAGGGGCAGGUUCGCUUGCGGGCCACCGAAAAGUGAGAUACCACUACUCCCUUCGUCUCCGUACUCUACUCGGUUAAUGGGAGAAUUAUAUGUUGAAUGAUGGCGUCUGGGGCAGGGGACGGACGGGUAGCAUCCCAGGAUGCGUGGGUGUGUCUCGUAUGCUCAUGUUGUUGUUGCUGCCGUGUUCUGCACGUGUGGUGAUGAUGAUGUGUGGUGUGCUUGUUCAUUCGCGUGUUUAUGGGUGUUGCGUGUUUCGCGCCCAUUAAAACUGCUCUUGCCUCGUCCUGCCGAGGACAGAUUCAGGUGGGGAGUUUGACUGGGGCGGUACAUCUGUCAAACGAUAACGCAGGUGUCCUAAGGCCAGCUCAACGAGAUCAGAAAUCUCGUGUAGAGCAUAAGGGCCUAUGCUGGCUUGAUCUAGACUUUCAGUAUGAGUACGGACGGUGAAAGCCAGGCCUAUCGAUCCUUUUGAUGUUACUGAGUUUAUAGCAAGAGGUAUCAGAAAAGUUACCACAGGGAUAACUGGCUUGUGGCGGCCAAGCGUCCUUAGCGACGUCGCUUUUUGAUCCUUCGAUGUCGGCUCUUCCUAUCAUUGAGUUGCAACCGUCGCCAAGCGUCGGAUUGUUCACCCUUACUCAGGUAACGUGAGCUGGGGUUAGACCGUCGCGAGACAGGUUAGUUUUACCCUACUGUGGUCUGAUUGAGGGGCCCAUCACGGGAGAGCACCCCUCGAUGUCGUAUCGCUAUGGAAGUUGUGGCCAGUACGAGAGGAACGUCACAACCGAGCCUCUGGUCCCGGACUCGGUCGAGCGGCCGUUGGUCCCAGGCUACGCUCGUACAAGUAAGGCCGAACGCCUCUUAAGCCUGAAACCAUUCCAGAACAUGAGCGAUGCUACAGUGCAGUUGACUCGUUGUCCCUCGCAAGGACUCGUGGUCUAGGUGCUAGCACCCUAAGUGUAUAUGUAUCGUGCUCGCGUCCUUCGGGGCGUGUGUACGGCUUGUUGAGGUGUAAGUCUGAUGGAUACAAUGGUAGAGCUGACAGGC